GGUCCUGUAGCUCAGCUGGUAGAGCACCUGACUCUUAAUCAGGUGGUCGUGUGUUCGAAUCACACCGGGAUCA
rnacentral:tRNA from 1 species